rnacentral:rRNA from 1 species
CCUACGGGAGGCAGCAGUGAGGAAUAUUGGUCAAUGGACGAGAGUCUGAACCAGCCAAGUAGCGUGAAGGAUGAAGGCCCUAUGGGUUGUAAACUGUUUUUAUAUGGGAAUAAAAUAGGGUAUGCAUACCCUCUUGUAUGUACCAUAUGAAUAAGGAUCGGCUAACUCCGUGCCCGCAGCGGCGGUAAUACGGAGGAUCCGAGCGUUAUCCGGAUUUAUUGGGUUUAAAGGGAGCGUCGGUGGAUUCUUAAGUCCGUUGUGACAGUUUGCGGCUCAACCAUAAAAUUGCAGUUGAAACUGGGAGUCUUGAGUGCAGUAGAGGUGGGCGGAAUUCGUGGUGUAGCGGUGAAAUGCUUAGAUAUCACGAAGAACUCCGAUUGCGAAGGCAGCUCACUGGACUGCAACUGACGCUGAUGCUCGAAAGUGUGGGUAUCAAACAGGAUUAGAUACCCUGGUAGUC